rnacentral:rRNA from 1 species
ACGGGUGAGUAACGCGUGGGAAUCUACCCAUCCCUACGGAAUAACGCAUGGAAACGUGUGCUAAUACCGUAUACGCCCUACGGGGGAAAGAUUUAUCGGGGAUGGAUGAGCCCGCGUUGGAUUAGCUAGUUGGUGGGGUAAAGGCCUACCAAGGCGACGAUCCAUAGCUGGUCUGAGAGGAUGAUCAGCCACAUUGGGACUGAGACACGGCCCAAACUCCUACGGGAGGCAGCAGUGGGGAAUAUUGGACAAUGGGCGCAAGCCUGAUCCAGCCAUGCCGCGUGAGUGAUGAAGGCCUUAGGGUUGUAAAGCUCUUUCACCGGAGAAGAUAAUGACGGUAUCCGGAGAAGAAGCCCCGGCUAACUUCGUGCCAGCAGCCGCGGUAAUACGAAGGGGGCUAGCGUUGUUCGGAAUUACUGGGCGUAAAGCGCACGUAGGCGGACUUUUAAGUCAGGGGUGAAAUCCCGGGGCUCAACCUCGGAACUGCCUUUGAUACUGGAAGUCUGGAGUAUGGAAGAGGUAAGUGGAAUUCCGCGUGUAGAGGUGAAAUUCGUAGA